UACGUAGGGUGCAAGCGUUGUCCGGAAUUAUUGGGCGGUAAAGAGCUCGUAGGCGGUCUGUCGCGUCUUGCUGUGAAAACUCAAGGGCUUAACCCUGAGCUUGCAGUGGGUAACGGGCAGACUAGAGUGCGGUAGGGGGAGACUGGAAUUCGUUGGUGAUAGCGGUGAAAUGACGUAGAUAUCAGGAGGAACACCUAUUGCGAAGGCAGCUCGCUGGGACGUAACUGACGCUGGAGGCGACGAAAGCGUGGGGAGCAAACAGG
rnacentral:rRNA from 1 species